ensembl:antisense Gm13267 predicted gene 13267
GGAGGCGGGGCGGCCUGCCGUGAAAGAAACCUUUUUAGGCCGGGCGGUGGUGGCGCACGCCUUUAAUCCCAGCACUCGGAAGGCAGAGGCAGGUGGAUUUCUGAGUUCGAGGCCAGCCUGGUCUACAGAGUGCUGGCAAAGGGGGUCGGCUUACAAGACGGAGCUGUCAUUGGAGCGAAGAAGAAAUCAAGUGACAUUGAGUACAUCAGAGCUCUGCUCUGUUCCAUUAAGAAGGUUCUGACUAUGUGGCCUGAGCUGGUCUCAAACUCAUAAACUCGAGGGAACCCAGCCAUCCAGUAUAGGUAUGCACCAUCCUGGUUAGCCUAAAGUAGACUUUAUUUCACUGUCUCUUUAAAGAAAUGAGCAAGCUAGCAAAGAAAUCUGUAUGUUGUUACUCCAAGAGAAACAACAGAGAGAGAGAGAAAGAGAGAGAGAGAGAGAGAGAGAGCAUGAGUGAGUAUAGAUAUAAGAGUAAGCACUCACCCUGCAAGCCAGUUGUUUUUCAAACCUUGGAGAAACAAAAGACCAUGGACCCAUGUUCUGCGGCUCCUCCUGACUCCAGAUGACAUCUGCAAAAAGAAGAAGUUGACUUCAACUUUCAAUCAACCAAAAGACUGAUUGUUGCUAAUGUGUGGGACUGGGGAAAGUCCUGACUCCAGACAAUCAAGAUGAGGAGACCUGGGGAUUGAAAGACUUCUUCUUUG